rnacentral:rRNA from 1 species
CAGUAGCCACGGUAAUACAGAGGGUGCGAGCGUUAAUCGGAUUUACUGGGCGUAAAGUGUGCGUAGGCGGCUUCUUAAGUCGGAUGUGAAAUCCCUGAGCUUAACUUAGGAAUUGCAUUCGAUACUGGGAAGCUAGAGUAUGGGAGAGGAUGGUAGAAUUCCAGGUGUAGCGGUGAAAUGCGUAGAGAUCUGGAGGAAUACCGAUGGCGAAGGCAGCCAUCUGGCCUAAUACUGACGCUGAGGUACGAAAGCAUGGGGAGCAAACAGGAUUAGAUACCCCAGUAGUCCCUGUCUCUUAUAC